UUAGUCCCAAGAUACCAUUUGAAAGUACAGUAUUCAAAUAAUAGCUUCUAAAAUAUCUCCUCUCCUCCUCGUUUUUCUUUAUUAACAGCUGUAGAGUAUUUCUAAUGUGACGGGAAACAUCCUCCGUUGUUCCUCCUCUAUAUUUGACUGAAAUGAAGCUGCCCGCCUGCGCAGUGGUACCCACCUCUGCUAUUCUGGGCCCUGUGCAAUUUGGAGAGUGACAACUUACCUUAACUAUUGGAGCAUCGACCGCUUCACCAAGUUCUCCCGGGCGUUGCGGUCCCUGCUUCCUGCCACGGCUCCUGAUUCCUGCAUGGAAACCAUCACCGAUACAAAGCGGGUGGAGAGGGCGGCUUUUCAUAGAAUCGUAGCCUUCAGGACUCUGGGUUGCCACAACUCUUGUUUGAAACAAACCACCACCGUGGCAUUCCUUGCAGCUAAUGACAGGGAAGCUCAAACCUGGCAACUGCUACCUUAAAAAGUAAUAGAAAAAGGAAACAAAACCCCUGAGAAAGCUGUGCAUACGUAGCAAAGGAGUAGCAAUGGGCAUGCAAAUAACACGGUAAACUGCUUCAUAGGGCAGCCGAUUAAGUGAUAUAAAGAAAGCAUCCAGCCCGUGUGUUUCCCAGCUCCUGCAGUGCUGCAUGGACCGUGAGUGUGCGCAGGAAGGUGUCUGAACACCUUCUGUGUGCCAGCGAGGCUUGGGACGUGAUGCCUUCAGCCGUGGUUCAGCUGCUGAGGAAGGAGUGGCAGUUCUGAGCUCCCCAGCUCCGUGUUGACCUGAAGGAGAGAGGCAGAGAAACGGAGGAGGCAGGUGCUAUACGGCAUGUGGUGAAAGAGAUCGGCUGGCUUGUCGUGCAGCACAGCCCUCCUGCCCUCCCCAGUCCUGCUCCCUGUCUUGCCAGGAGUGCACUCGGAUGGAAAGUCCUCUUGCUACCUGCUUGUGCUCUCGGCACCUCUGCUGCCACUCUGGUGGCCUCCAGCAACUGCCACUGUGUUGUACGCAACAGAAACAUCGGGGUUCUGUUUCGUAUGUUCUAAACCGCAUCCAGGCACCUGAAUAAUUCCCACCUACUCCAUGGCAGGCAGGCUGACCCCCCUGCAGCUGUCAGUGCAGCACGAAGCUGCUUGCAGGAGCUCAGGUGCGCUUUUCAGUACGGCUCACACACCCGAACCUGAGCCUUGCAGAGGUGAGUGGCAGUGGGCUCUAAUUAGCACUGUUUCCCUGGAAAAUAGCUGCCAGAUUAACAUUUUUCUUUUGCCCAGGAAAUAAAACCUUCUUGGGGACGCUGAACGCGGCGGUGGGGGGCUGCGUGCAGCGGGCCUGGUGCUGGGGUGCCCCUUUAUAGGGCCGUGCCUUUGGGGGCGCUGCUUUCGGGGUCCUUUACCGCCUCCCAGCAGCCCCCUCCGUGUUGCUGGGGAUGCUCAACCCCCUGCCAAGAAACUCCACGCGCACACGGAGGAGUUUUGUUUCAUAUUUUAUUGAAUUUCAUUUAUAUUAAAUUAAAAAUAUAUUUCUGACAGAUUCAUGUAACAAAAAGGCAGAACAGUUUUCAAAUUGUUCAGCUGGGAUGAGCGCGGGUCGAUGCAAGGUGGGUGGCAGUCUACAUUUGCCUUAACGAACAGAUUAAGCUCUACCCCAAGGGCCGUGAGGAGAAACGUGGGACUGCACACGGGGGGCAAAGUAUAACCACACACAGAGAAGGUCUGCAGGCUUCUCCCCAGCCUCCAAACAAGACAGAAGGGGAGGGAAGGAAAAAAGAGAAAGAAAACAAACGAGAAACCGUGAAAAGAAGGGAAAUUAUGCUCAAAUAUGUACCUAAUAUUAACCCAGGUCAGUGUCUUAACAGUGCGUAAUCCUCAACAGCUAAAAUAUGAGAAAGGAAAGGUUAAAGUAACGUUACGCCACACACAACUGGCAUACCCUACUGUGUAAGCAAGUGCAGAAAGUCUGAACACACCACAAUAGUGCUAAAACACAGAAUCCCACAGAAUGACAAAAAUGGUAUUUCUAACCAAAACCGGAGGGUGGGAGGGGAAGAAAGAAAAGGGGAAGGAGCGCAUAAAUCACAAGCAAAUUACCUAUAUACAAAUCAACCCUAAGGACGAUUAUGUUCCAAAUAAUGGUGACCACAAGGAAAAUAAAAGCAACAUUAUCCUUAUUUACAAAUGCAACUAGCUGUGUCUUUAACAAGCUAUAAAAAUACUAUUCACAUUUUCAAAGUAACAUACAGUAGUUUUUGUAUUUUUCUGUUUUUGUUUCAGAAAGGCAGCUAACUCUGAAUGCAUCGCUUUGCACGAAAUGAGCGUCUUCCCCGACAAACCGGUGCUCCUCUUCUUCUGAAGGUGCUUCUAAGGCAGAACUACUGUGCCAUGAUCUCUUCACGCUGUUAGAACCCAGAGAACUGCCCCAAAACCAGAGUCCCCUCACCCCUACCUCCACCUCUCUCUGCAGGGCUGUGCCCCCCUGGCAGGAGUGGUGCUGCUCCUGCAACUCCUCCCAGCUGGGGCCCAGUCUCAUUGCCCUCCCAAUUUGGGAAGGUGAGCUUUGCCCUACAGAACACGUAAUUUAAGGACUGCAAGGACAGCAAACGUAUUUUGGGUAUCUCUGUUUCUACCGAGAGACUGCUUUCCCCCUCCAUUUCCCCUCUCUACCCUAGGGUUGCUACCUCUGUAGAAACUCCAGCUUACCAUGCUGGGGAAAUGUCAAAAACUGGGCAGAAGAAAAACCAAACCAAAAGGUGAAAACCAUUGUGAAUAAUGUUACAAAUGCACACCCAUUUCCAACGCUGAAAUGCUAUUAAAAACCGUGUUCUCAAUCAUCUGCAUUCUCAGUAUGCCCCACCAUGAGAAGGCGGGGACCCAGCAACUUCCUUCUGCCCCAUCUCCAAAGGAACGCUGCCUUAAGUGCAUUCAAAGUUAGCUACCCCUUACACAGCUGCUCAGUAUUAAUCGACCCAUUUAACAGCAGUACCAGCUUAUGCUACAUAUGUCGUAUUACCUUACCUCAAAGGAACGGCGUACGUAUCUACAUUUAUAAAAUACCAUUCACAGUUUAUUACUGUGGUUAUCCCAAAAGGGUUUAGUCUUCGGAGCGCUAUGGACAUAAUAGGGCGUUUUUAUCCCUAAGAGGGCUCGCAGCCUGGGCAGGGCACGGGGACAGAGGUGCUGCCAUCAGCAGGGUGCACCUUAGCCCUGGUGGUUCCAUCCACGACACUUUCGGAGCACAAUCUCAUGGCUUUAUUUUUUUUUUCUGGGGGAGGGAGGAACUGGGAUGCAUCUAUUCACACGGCCUAACACCUUACAAAUCUACAAAAUCCCUCUUUACCAAGGUCCAAAACUCUCUAAUUAUAAAGAAUAAAGUAGCGCUAACUAUUCACACUUCCUAACAGGGAUUAUGUCCUUAGCUUCCUCCUCAGCUCAGCACAGACCUCCCCCCACCAGCUGGGCUCACCGCUUCAACCUUCCUCUGUGUUUCAGAAAGCACCACUGCCAUAAGUCAGACUUAACAGAGCGCAGAGGAUCCCCUGCCUUGUCCCAGCCUACGAACAGAUACCAGCCCUGGCCGUGGGACAAAUGGAGAUGCCUUACCUUCAGCCUUACCUUAAAGUCAUCUCUGUGACAGCAGCGAGCCCCCUCACAGCGUCAGAUACUAAAUCUGAGUGGUGCAGUGUGACCAUGUGCUUCAAUAAAGUGACUCGCGUGUCCCCCUUCAUUCUUGGGCAUUUGAGAGUCGCUUCAAACCACGGAACAUUGUUAUUUAUUCCUGAUUUGAAAACCCCACUUUAAUGGUGACCGCUUCUACCUGCAUAACACUUAGCAAAAGGCCAAAAAUAAAAACGAGGGCAUGUUCUGAGCAGCUGAGGCUGCCCUCGUGGACAGCCGUGCUUCUUUGUGUGUGAGGAAAUGUAGUACUGCAGCCAUCCAGCCCCUGCCUGUGUGCAGCCCUGGCUUGUGGAAGUGGCACUGGAACCCAAAUCCUGCAUGCGUAACAACAGAUGAGCUGUUCUGUCAGCAGCAGAGAUCUACAAUCCAGAAUAAUGGAAACACUACAAGCGACAGAUCUAGAAAUGAGCAGGUGUACAGUCUUUUUUAUAUUAUUGCAAGUCAAAACAUCUCUUACAAACAAUAGCAGAAGAGAACUCCGGGUGACGCUGCCUGUUCUGAGGUGAUGGUCUUUAAGAGCCCAAGAGGUCACUGAUCACCCGAGGCUUGCUUAGUCCUUGUUAAAGCCUAUUUUCUACAGGUCCCCCUUGAGCUAAAGAGCCUUCAAAAGAGAUGAACACCUACCUGAGCUCGCACCCAGCUCUCGGCUGGCAAUAAGCACUGGAUCCCCUCUGCGUGCACGGGCCCCAGCACCAAUAACACAGCAGCCCUGCACGCGCCAUUUCGGGGCUCCUCCUCACUGUCCCAGAGGACCACACGAAAUGAGCUCAUUGCAUACGGUUCCUGCACUCUGGACUGCAUUUCCACCAAGUGGUGGGAUCCAGGGUCAGUGCAACCAUUUUUUGUUUCGUAGCAGGAGAAACAUCUCUGAG